rnacentral:rRNA from 1 species
GGCGGGGUAACGGCCCACCUAGCCAACGAUGGAUAGGGGUUCUGAGAGGAAGGUCCCCCACAUUGGAACUGAGACACGGUCCAAACUCCUGCGGGAGGCAGCAGUGAGGAAUAUUGGUCAAUGGACGAGAGUCUGAACCAGCCAAGUAGCGUGAAGGAUGAAGGUCCUACGGAUUGUAAACUUCUUUUAUAAGGGAAUAAACCCUCCCACGUGUGGGAGCUUGUAUGUACCUUAUGAAUAAGCAUCGGCUAACUCCGUGCCAGCAGCCGCGGUAAUACGGGGGAUGCGAGCGUUAUCCGGGUUUAUUGGGUUUAAAGGGAGCGCAGACGGGUCGUUAAGUCAGCUGUGAAGGUUUGGGGCUCAACCUUAAAAUUGCAGUUGAUACUGGCGUCCUUGAGUGCGGUUGAGGCGUGCGGAAUUCGUGGUGUAGCGGUGAAAUGCUUAGAUAUCACGAAGAACUCCGAUUGCGAAGGCAGCACACUAAUCCGUAACUGACGUUCAUGCUCGAAAGUGUGGGUAUCAAACAAGAUUAGAUACCCUGGUAGUCCACACGGUAAACGAUGGAUACUCGCUGUUGGCGAUAUACUGUCAGCGGCUUAGCGAAAGCGUUAAGUAUCCCACCUGGGGAGUACGCCGGCAACGGUGCAACUCAAAGGAAUUGACGGA